rnacentral:rRNA from 1 species
UACGAAGGGGGCUAGCGCUGUUCGGAAUUACUGGGCGUAAAGCGUGCGCAGGCGGCUGCUCAAGUCAGGGGUGAAAGCCCAGAGCUCAACUCUGGAAUUGCCUUUGAGACUGAGUGGCUUGAGUACGGGAGAGGUGAGUGGAAUUCCCAGUGUAGAGGUGAAAUUCGUAGAUAUUGGGAAGAACACCGGUGGCGAAGGCGGCUCACUGGCCCGUAACUGACGCUCAUGCACGCAGCGUGGGGAUCAAACAGG